rnacentral:rRNA from 1 species
UACGGGGGGGGCAAGCGUUGUUCGGAAUUACUGGGCGUAAAGGGCUCGUAGGCGGCCAACUAAGUCAGACGUGAAAUCCCUCGGCUUAACCGGGGAACUGCAUCUGAUACUGGAUGGCUUGAGUUCGGGAGAGGGAUGCCGAAUUCCAGGUGUAGCGGUGAAAUGCGUAGAUAUCAAGAGGAACACCUGAGGUGAAGACGGGUUGCUGGGCUGACACUGACGCUGAGGCGCGAAAGCCAGGGGAGCAAACGGG